AUUGAACGCUGGCGGCAUGCCUUACACAUGCAAGUCGAACGGCAGCACGGGAGCAAUCCUGGUGGCGAGUGGCGAACGGGUGAGUAAUAUAUCGGAACGUGCCCAGUCGUGGGGAUAACGUAGGCGAAAGCUACGCUAAUACCGCAUACGAUCUAUGGAUGAAAGCGGGGGAUCGCAAGACCUCGCGCGAUUGGAGCGGCCGAUAUCAGAUUAGGUAGUUGGUGAGGUAAAGGCUCACCAAGCCGACGAUCUGUAGCUGGUCUGAGAGGACGACCAGCCACACUGGGACUGAGACACGGCCCAGACUCCUACGGAGGCAGCAGUGGGGAAUUUUGGACAAUGGGACGCAAGCCUGAUCCAGCAAUGCCGCGUGCAGGAUGAAGGCCUUCGGUUGU
rnacentral:rRNA from 1 species